UGGAAAGACACUUUCUUGCACUGAGGUCUGCUUAUUGUAAAUAUCCUGUACUUGUUUUUACACCUUUAAAGUUGACCUUUGACCUUUUUAGUGUUGGAAAGACACUUUCUUGCACUGAGGUCUGCUUAUUGUAAAUAUCCUGUACUUCUUUUUACACCUUUUAAUGUUAAAGUUGACCUUUGACCUUUUCAGUGUUGGAAAGACACUUUCUUGCACUGAGGUCUGCUUAUUGUAAAUAUCCUGUACUUGUUUUUACACCUUUAAAGUUGACCUUUGACCUUUUCAGUGUUGGAA
ensembl:lncRNA